rnacentral:rRNA from 1 species
CACGUAGGGUGCGAGCGUUGUCCGGAAUUAUUGGGCGUAAAGAGCUCGUAGGCGGUGUGUCACGUCGGCCGUGAAAACCUGCAGCUUAACUGUGGGCGUGCGGUCGAUUCGGGCAUCACUGGAGUUCGGCAGGGGAGACUGGAAUUCCUGGUGUAGCGGUGAAAUGCGCAGAUAUCAGGAGGAACACCGGUGGCGAAGGCGGGUCUCUGGGCCGAUACUGACGCUGAGGAGCGAAAGCGUGGGGAGCGAACAGG